rnacentral:rRNA from 1 species
UGCAGUCGAGCGAACGGAUAAGGAGCUUGCUCCUUUGAAGUUAGCGGCGGACGGGUGAGUAACACGUGGGUAACCUACCUAUAAGACUGGAAUAACUUCGGGAAACCGGAGCUAAUGCCGGAUAACAUAUAGAACCGCAUGGUUCUAUAGUGAAAGAUGGUUUUGCUAUCACUUAUAGAUGGACCCGCGCCGUAUUAGCUAGUUGGUAAGGUAAUGGCUUACCAAGGCGACGAUACGUAGCCGACCUGAGAGGGUGAUCGGCCACACUGGAACUGAGACACGGUCCAGACUCCUACGGGAGGCAGCAGUAGGGAAUCUUCCGCAAUGGGCGAAAGCCUGACGGAGCAACGCCGCGUGAGUGAUGAAGGUUUUCGGAUCGUAAAACUCUGUUAUUAGGGAAGAACAAAUGCGUAAGUAACUGUGCGCAUCUUGACGGUACCUAAUCAGAAAGCCACGGCUAACUACGUGCCAGCAGCCGCGGUAAUACGUAGGUGGCAAGCGUUAUCCGGAAUUAUUGGGCGUAAAGCGCGCGUAGGCGGUUUCUUAAGUCUGAUGUGAAAGCCCACGGCUCAACCGUGGAGGGUCAUUGGAAACUGGGAAACUUGAGUGCAGAAGAGGAAAGUGGAAUUCCAUGUGUAGCGGUGAAAUGCGCAGAGAUAUGGAGGAACACCAGUGGCGAAGGCGACUUUCUGGUCUGUAACUGACGCUGAUGUGCGAAAGCGUGGGGAUCAAACAGGAUUAGAUACCCUGGUAGUCCACGCCGUAAACGAUGAGUGCUAAGUGUUA